UAUUCGAUUCCUCUUCCUUGCCCUUUUCCGACAUGCAACUAAAUCUUAAAACUUGUUGUUUUUACCUAAAUAUCUAAUUAUCUCUUGAAUUCCCUCCCCACUUAAAGAAAUCUUCUCCCUCUGUCGAAUUACUGCAAUGGGCUCUUAAAUGCUGCCCUGCCUCCAGACUUGAUCCUUCCAUUUGCUUCCCAAGCCAGGGGGCAGGGGAAGGAGGAGGGAGAGAAGGAAGAAGAGGGUAAGGAGGGGAAGGAGGAGGAGAAGAAAGGGGAUGAAAAGAGAGAGAAGGAAGAGGAAGGUGAGGAAGAGGGAGGAGGAGGAACCAGCAAAGGAGACUAAGAAGUGAGAUACAGGAGGGGGGCUGUGAAAACCAAGAGAACUGAGUGUUGGAAGGAGGGGAGGAUCCUGUGCUGGUUCCUCCUCCUCCCUCUUCCUCACCUUCCUCUUCCUUCUCUCUCUUUUCAUCCCCUUUCUUCUCCUCCUCCUUCCCCUCCUUACCCUCUUCUUCCUUCUCUCCCUCCUCCUUCCCCUGCCCCCUGGCUUGGGAAGCAAAUGGAAGGAUCAAGUCUGGAGGCAGGGCAGCAUUUAAGAGCCCAUUGCAGUAAUUCGACAGAGGGAGAAGAUUUCUUUAAGUGGGGAGGGAAUUCAAGAGAUAAUUAGAUAUUUAGGUAAAAACAACAAGUUUUAAGAUUUAGUUGCAUGUCGGAAAAGGGCAAGGAAGAGGAAUCGAAUA